rnacentral:rRNA from 1 species
UACAGAGGGUGCGAGCGUUGUCCGGAAUCACUGGGCGUAAAGGGCGCGUAGGUGGCGACCCAAGUCGAUGGUGAAAGCUCGCCGCUCAACGGCGAGUCGGCCACCGAUACUGGGUUGCUCGAGCACUGUAGAGGCUCAUGGAAUUCCGGGUGUAGCGGUGGAAUGCGUAGAGAUCCGGAAGAACACCGGUGGCGAAGGCGGCCUGCUGGGCAGUUGCUGACACUGAGGCGCGACAGCGUGGGGAGCAAACAGG